AUCUAUAAAUAUCUUUUAAAUUAAAAUAAAUAAAAAUAAUGUAAUAUAAACUUAAUACUACCCACCUCCAAAUAAGAGUACUGAGAAGGAAGAAAUCAAUACCCCCUAGUAGUGAGACCCACGUACCUUGUGCAUUAUGGUUUUACAAGUUAAGUAAUUAAUAAUAAAUUCCCGAAUCCUAUGCGAGCUGUUUCCGUAUAGCUAAGAGCCCACCACUAGUUGUAGCAACAACUUUGGAAAAUACUGUAACAGAGGCUACAUACCACCCGCGCUAGAAUAUUGCUGGUUUUCAGUUAAAUCUACAAAUAGAGCAUGUAAUAAGUUACAAUGUAAGACUAUAGAGGAUAAGCCCUAUAGUCAGAAGCUAAAUAAAAUCUUUAACCAAAAUAGGCCUAAAAACAGCCAUCAAAAAUACGUUACAGUAUUUCAUAUUAAAUAUAAAUAAGCCGUGCCACAUAAAACUGAAAUUUACGGUUAAUAAAAAUGCCCUAAAAUAUUCUGUAAAAAUAAGUAUUAGUCUAAUAAACUGUUGCCCCAAUAAACUUUUUUACACUCAACAAAAUGCUUAUAAAGGAACUCGGCAAAUAUACUUUCGACUGUUUAACAAAAACAUUGCUUCUUGCAUUACAAUAAGAAGUAAUUCCUGCCCGGUGAACAUUUUAACGGCCGCGGUAUCCUAACCGUGCAAAGGUAGCAUAAUCACUUGCCCAUUAAUUGUGGGCUAGCAUGAAAGGACUAACGAAAUAUAGACUGUCUCUAUAAGCCCCAUAAAAAUUAAUCUCUAACUGAAGAUUGUUAGAUAUUGUCGAAGGACAAGAAGACCCUAUAGAGCUUUACUUAAUUAAAAACUAAAAAUUUUUUAUAUAGUUCGGUUGGGGCGACCGGGGAAAUUUCUAAUCAUCCCUAAGAAAAAGAUAAAUUAAUCAUAAAUUUGACCCUUAAUAAAGAUCACAAGACCAAGCUACCUUAGGGAUAACAGGCUAAUCCUACUAGAGAGUCCUUAUCAAUAGUGGGGUUUGGCACCUCGAUGUUGGCUUAGGGAAUCUAUGUGGCGCAAAAGUCAUAUAAAGAUGGUUUGUUCAACCAAUAACCCCUACAUGAGCUGAGUUCAGACCGGCGUAAGCCAGGUUAGUUUCUAUCCUCGAUAACCUAAUCUAUUUAUAGUACGAAAGGACCUAAAUAAGAAUAAUAUUUAUAUAAAAAGAAAUAGUAUAAUAAAAAUUAAAUUAGCAAAAUACAUACACUAUG
rnacentral:rRNA from 1 species